rnacentral:tRNA from 1 species
AUGAUUUAUGAAAAAAAGCGCUCUUAGUUCAGUUCGGUAGAACGCGGGUCUCCAAAACCCGAUGUCGUAGGUUC